rnacentral:tRNA from 1 species
AGGUGCAUGGUCUAGUGGUAUGAUUUUCGCUUCGCAUUCUGAAAUGCGCUCUGUGAAAGGUCCCCGGUUCGAUCCCGGGUGCAUCCA